rnacentral:rRNA from 1 species
GGGGGGGGGGGGGGGGGGGGGGGGGGGGGGGGGGGGGGGGGGGGGGGCGGGGCGGGGGGGGGGUGGGCGGGUGGCGGACGGGGGGGGGACGCGGGGGUAACCUGCCCUGGACGUGGGGAUAACUUCAGGAAACUGGGGCGAAUACCGGAUAGGAGCUCCUGCUGCAUGGUGGGGGUUGGAACGUUUCGGCGGUUGGGGAUGGACUCGCGGCUUCUCAGCUUGUUGGUGGGGUAGUGGCUUACCAAGGCUUUGACGGGUAGCCGGCCUGAGAGGGUGACCGGCCACAUUGGGACUGAGAUACGGCCCAGACUCCUACGGGAGGCAGCAGUGGGGAAUAUUGCACAAUGGGCGGAAGCCUGAUGCAGCAACGCCGCGUGCGGGAUGACGGCCUUCGGGUUGUAAACCGCUUUCGCCUGUGACGAAGCGUGAGUGACGGUAAUGGGUAAAGAAGCACCGGCUAACUACGUG